UGGCGGCAGUAGCGCGGUGGUCCCACCUGACCCCAUGCCGAACUCAGAAGUGAAACGCCGUAGCGCCGAUGGUAGUGUGGGGUCUCCCCAUGCGAG
rnacentral:rRNA from 1 species